AUGGGGAAACUCUUUGAACCGGCUCUGGUCUGCGGGAGGCGGCAGGCACAGCGGGGCGGGCUGGAGAGCGCGGAGGUGUCUGCGGGUGCAAGUGGAAGGCACGGGGUAGCGGGGAGGACUCCGUGGAAAGUUCUCUGCCGGCUCCUCAGAGACACAGAGACUACCAGGUGUGCGUGGCGACUAGGAACAACUGGAGCUUACCACGUGCGGUCAUUCAACAAACAUUCGUGGAGCACGUGCUAUAUAUCAGGUAGGAAACUCCUUUCUUAUUAUUUGGUGGGGGUGGGGCAGAGAGAGAGAGAGAGAGCGAGCGAGCUCCAUAUGCCCAAAUGCCCACAACAGCUGGGGCUGAGCCAGGCUGAAGCCAGGAGCCAGGAGCACAAUCCAGGUCUCCUACGUGGGUGGCAGGGAACCAAGAACCUUAGCCCUCACCUGCUGCCUGCCAAGGUCUGCAUAGCAGGGAGCUGGAUCAGGAGUGGAGGCGGGACUUGACCGCAGAGACUCCACUAUGGGCUGUGGGCGUCCCAGUACCAUUUCUUGUGUUUUGUUGUUGUUGUUGGGUUUUUUUUUUUUUUUUAGAUUUAUUUAUUUAUUUAUUUAAAGGCAGUUGCAGAGAGGCAGAGAGGUCUUUCAUCCACUGGUUUGCUCCCCAGAUGGCCUCAACGGCCGGAGCUGCGCUGAUCCAAAGCCAGGAGCCAGGGGCUUCUUCCAGGUCUCCCAUGUGGGUGCAGGGCCCAAGGACUUGGGUCAUCUCCUACUGCUUUCCCAGGCCGUAGCAGAGAGCUGGGUCGGAAGAGGAGCAUCUGGGACUCAAACCGGCACCCAUAUAGGAUGCUGGCAUUGAAGGCAGUGGCUUCACGCACUAUGCCACAGCGCCGGCCCCACCAGACAGCAUUUUGAUGGCUGCAUCCAGGGUCCACCCCAGGCAGGUGGAGUGAUUGUUCCUGUCCUCAGAGGGCGGGGAAGGCUGGUAUCCAGACUGACAGAGAGAGAGCUGGAAAAGUGUGACACCAGAGGAUGCUCCUCUGUAAAGAAGGGGUCAGCUCUCUGCUGUGGCCCGGGAGUGCAGUGGAGGAUGGCCCAAGUGCUUGGGCCCUGCACCCCAUGGGAGACCAGGAGGAAGCACCUGGCUCCUGGCUUCUGAUCAGUGCAGCUCCAGCUGUUGUAGCCAACUGGGGAGUGAACCAACGGAAGGAAGACCUUUCUCUCUGUCCCUCCCUCUAUCUGUAACUCUACCUCUCAAAUAACUAAAUAAAAUCUUAAAAAAGGAGGGGGGAAUCA
rnacentral:lncRNA from 1 species